UUCAUUCGANGCAACGCGAAGAACCUUACCAAAUCUUGACAUCCUUUGACAACUCUAGAGAUAGAGCCUUCCCCUUCGGGGGACAAAGUGACAGGUGGUGCAUGGUUGUCGUCAGCUCGUGCCGUGAGAGCUUGGGUGCUAAGUCCGGCAACUAGCGCAACCCUGAAGCUUAGUUACCAUCAUUAAGUU
rnacentral:rRNA from 1 species